GAUGAACGCUAGCGGCGUGCCUAAUACAUGCCAGUCGAGCGAACAGACGAGGAGCUUGCUCCUCUGACGUUAGCGGCGGACGGGUGAGUAACACGUGGAUAACCUACCUAUAAGACUGGGAUAACUUCGGGAAACCGGAGCUAAUACCGGAUAAUAUAUUGAACCGCAUGGUUCAAUAGUGAAAGACGGUUUUGCUGUCACUUAUAGAUGGAUCCGCGCCGCAUUAGCUAGUUGGUAAGGUAACGGCUUACCAAGGCAACGAUGCGUAGCCGACCUGAGAGGGUGAUCGGCCACACUGGAACUGAGACACGGUCCAGACUCCUACGGGAGGCAGCAGUAGGGAAUCUUCCGCAAUGGGCGAAAGCCUGACGGAGCAACGCCGCGUGAGUGAUGAAGGUCUUCGGAUCGUAAAACUCUGUUAUUAGGGAAGAACAAAUGUGUAAGUAACUAUGCACGUCUUGACGGUACCUAAUCAGAAAGCCACGGCUAACUACGUG
rnacentral:rRNA from 1 species